rnacentral:rRNA from 1 species
AGAGUUUGAUCCUGGCUCAGAUUGAACGCUGGCGGCAGGCCUAACACAUGCAAGUCGAACGGUAACAUUUCUAGCUUGCUAGAAGAUGACGAGUGGCGGACGGGUGAGUAAUGCUUGGGAACUUGCCUUUGCGAGGGGGAUAACAGUUGGAAACGACUGCUAAUACCGCAUAAUGUCUUCGGACCAAACGGGGCUUCGGCUCCGGCGCAAAGAGAGGCCCAAGUGAGAUUAGCUAGUUGGUAAGGUAACGGCUUACCAAGGCGACGAUCUCUAGCUGUUCUGAGAGGAAGAUCAGCCACACUGGGACUGAGACACGGCCCAGACUCCUACGGGAGGCAGCAGUGGGGAAUAUUGCACAAUGGGGGAAACCCUGAUGCAGCCAUGCCGCGUGUGUGAAGGAGGCCUUCGGGUUGUAAAGCACUUUCAGUUGUGAGGAAAAGUUAGUAGCUAAUACCUGCUAGCCGUGACGUUAACAACAGAAGAAGCACCGGCUAACUCCGUGCCAGCAGCCGCGGUAAUACGGAGGGUGCGAGCGUUAAUCGGAAUUACUGGGCGUAAAGCGCACGCAGGCGGUUUGUUAAGCUAGAUGUGAAAGCCCCGGGCUCAACCUAGGAUGGUCAUUUAGAACUGGCAGACUAGAGUCUUGGAGAGGGGAGUGGAAUUCCAGGUGUAGCGGUGAAAUGCGUAGAUAUCUGGAGGAACAUCAGUGGCGACGGCGACUCCCUGGUCCAAAGACUGACGCUCAUGUGCGAAAGUGUGGGUAGCGAACAGGAUUAGAUACCCUGAUAGUCCACACCGUAUACGCUGUCUACUAGCUGUGUAUGGCCUCUAAAGCAGUGCGUAGCGAAUGCUAACGCGACUGAGUAAGUCCGCCUGGGGGAACUACCGCCGCCAUGUUCAAAAGCUCAAAUGAAUGACGGGGGCCCGCACAAUGCGCUGAGCAUGUGGCUAAUCGAUGCCACGCGAGACGUACCUACACUGACUGCUGAAAGUACUAAGAAUGUUUCAGGCAUCGGACUCAAACCAGGUGCUGCAUGGCUGUCGUCAAAUCGUACCUGAAGUAGGGUUAAGUCCGACUAGCAACCUGCUAAUGCAGCUAAGUGGAUUAGGAAACUGCCCG